UUUGCUUAAAAUAAAAGGUCCAGCCUGCCCAGUGACACUGUUCAACGGCCGCGGUAUCCUAACCGUGCGAAGGUAGCGUAAUCACUUGUUCUUUAAAUGAGGACUAGUAUGAAAGGCAUCACGAGAGUCAUACUGUCUCCUCUUUCCAAUCAGUUAAACUAAUUUUCCCGUGAAGAAGCGGGGAUAACUAUAUAAGACGAGAAGACCCUAUGGAGCUUUAAACGAAUAACACUUGCCCACCACUCCUUCUAAUUUCAGAAAAAUCUAUCACCUUGGCAUUAUACUUAUAAGUUUUUGAUUGGGGUGAUCACGGAACAAAAAAUAACCUCCGCAAUGAAAGACUCUCCACAACUAAGUCAAGAACCACAACUCUACACAUCAACAAAUUGACACGAAUUGACCCAAUUUAUUGAUCAAUGAAC
rnacentral:rRNA from 1 species